rnacentral:lncRNA from 1 species
CUUUCUUUGUAGCCACCUCAGGGGAAGCAACAGAUCGUCACUCGGUGUUCUCACCGAAAGCACGUAAUCGCCGGUGUAACUCAUGUUGGCUGGGGGGCCUCCCGGCGCGCGCGGAGAGGCUGGGGUGCGCCCCCAUGCAGCAUGCUUGUGCUCAAUUGCAGGGUCCUCGUUCUCGAGUGUGCAGAGGGCGGUGAGAGCUCAACUCUCGUCCCCACCUCCCACCCGCAGCUCCCCGGGUGGGUGAGGGAUGCCCUGGACUGGGGAUAGCCAGGUGGGAGUCCGUCGCUGUGUGGCCUGUGGUCUCGGAGUCUGUUCUCCUGGAGUCUCGCAUUUGCACCCCCUUCUUCGCAGUCCCCCUCCCAUAGACUUGCUCUGGGAAGCGCCUCUGCCUCCGACCCUAGCCGGAACCCCUUCGGGGCCAGAGUUUGAAGCCGUGGAUGUGCCUGCCUGGUGGCUUGUCCGAUUUGCACGGUGACUUGAUUACACUCUCUCAUUCAUGGUCACUUCCGAAGCGCUUUAGUGCCUUCCGUCCCUAAACCGCCAACAGCCAGAACGGCUUCUCCCCGCGGUUUGUCACUGAUCCGCAGGGCCCGGAAGGGCCUUCGUCUUACCCGGGAUCCACCUCUCCCCUCAUCUUCCCUGCCUACCUCUUCAUCCCACCUUCUGUCCUUGGAGAAACUCCCUCCUCCUCGCUGCCUGCCGGGCUUCGGAGUGACUCGGCAGAGACAGAGGCACAGGGGCUGCCCUGCUGCUCACCGGUCCACCCAUCUGCCUGGUCUUCUGGAGCUGAGGACUCGGGAAACCAUGCAAUUGAGGCAAGCCUUGGGCUGCUUUAGAGGCGCUGACAUCCGAGGAGACUUCUCCUGGGAGGUCCAACAGCCGAGCUUAGCCCACCGGGCUCUGGGAAAGACCCGACUGAGGCUAAAGCCGCCCCGGAAGGCCAAGUCCGAGUUCCAUUUCUUGAAGAGGCCGGCGCGCGUAAGGCUGUGACAUUGGCCCUGGCGACUGGCUUCCCAGGAGCUGUUCUUUCUCAGGAGCUCCACAGCGCGGGCCAUCUCCAGAAAACUGUCUUCAGAGUGUAUUUCCUUUUAUCGUCAACCCAGAGCCCCACCGCGGCUAAUGCAAGAGGCCAAAAAAUGUUUGGAGGAAGAAAAACAAAGGCAGGAAGUGGCGGCGGCCUGACGGUGCGUGUGUGUCUGCAGAGAAGGGAGGGAGCCGGCUCAGUCUCUUCUUGUUUUUCCAAACUUCAAGGUCCAGGCAGCCCUCUGCAGGGCCGGGCCCCAUUGCUCCCCGCGCGGCAUUGGAGGUGGCCGCCCGGAGAGGAGAAGGCCAACGCCUGCGCCAGGCUUGUCAGGCGGAAACGGCUAACAAGGAGAUUUGGUCAGCAAAACAGACCCAGCCUUUCCGAGGCUUCGUCUGACUUGGCCCGAAAGGUUGGGGAGGGGGGGCUUGCGCAGAGCCUCAGGGACCCUCCUCUCUGGGGACUACCAUCCCUGAGCCUUACGCUUCUUUCCACAGCCUUUGCAGGCGGAAUAUCGGAAUAAAGUGGGUCCAGGCGCCUCUG